GAUGGCGACCGGCGCACGGGUGNGUAACACGUAUCCAACCCUGCCGAUAACUCGGGGAUAGCCUUUCGAAAGAAAGAUUAAUACCCGAUGGCAUAAUAGAACCGCAUGGUUUGAUUAUUAAAGAAUUUCGGUUAUCGAUGGGGAUGCGUUCCAUUAGGCAGUUGGUGGGGUAACGGCCCACCAAACCUUCGAUGGAUAGGGGUUCUGAGAGGAAGGUCCCCCACAUUGGAACUGAGACACGGUCCAAACUCCUACGGGAGGCAGCAUG
rnacentral:rRNA from 1 species